rnacentral:rRNA from 1 species
UACGUAGGUGGCAAGCGUUGUCCGGAUUUACUGGGCGUAAAGAGCGCGCAGGCGGUCGUUCAAGUCGCGUGUGAAAGCCCCCGGCUCAACUGGGGAGGGUCACGCGAUACUGAUCGACUCGAAGGCAGGAGAGGGUAGUGGAAUUCCCGGUGUAGUGGUGAAAUGCGUAGAUAUCGGGAGGAACACCAGUGGCGAAGGCGACUACCUGGCCUGUUUCUUGACGCUGAGGCGCGAAAGCUAGGGGAGCAAA